rnacentral:rRNA from 1 species
GAGUUUGAUCAUGGCUCAGAUUGAACGCUGGCGGCAUGCCUUACACAUGCAAGUCGGACGGCAGCAUGAUCUAGCUUGCUAGAUUGAUGGCGAGUGGCGAACGGGUGAGUAAUACAUCGGAACGUGCCCUGUAGUGGGGGAUAACUAGUCGAAAGAUUAGCUAAUACCGCAUACGACCUGAGGGUGAAAGUGGGGGACCGCAAGGCCUCAUGCUAUAGGAGCGGCCGAUGUCUGAUUAGCUAGUUGGUGGGGUAAAGGCCCACCAAGGCGACGAUCAGUAGCUGGUCUGAGAGGACGAUCAGCCACACUGGGACUGAGACACGGCCCAGACUCCUACGGGAGGCAGCAGUGGGGAAUUUUGGACAAUGGGCGAAAGCCUGAUCCAGCAAUGCCGCGUGUGUGAAGAAGGCCUCGGUU